AGGAAUAUUGGUCAAUGGACGAGAGUCUGAACCAGCCAAGUAGCGUGAAGGAUGACUGCCCUAUGGGUUGUAAACUUCUUUUAUACGGGAAUAAAGUGAGGCACGUGUGCCUUUUUGUAUGUACCGUAUGAAUAAGGAUCGGCUAACUCCGUGCCAGCAGCCGCGGUAAUACGGAGGAUGCGAGCGUUAUCCGGAUUUAUUGGGUUUAAAGGGAGCGUAGACGGGUCGUUAAGUCAGCUGUGAAAGUUUGAGGCUCAACCUUAAAAUUGCAGUUGAUACUGGCGUCCUUGAGUACGGUUGAGGCAGGCGGAAUUCGUGGUGUAGCGGUGAAAUGCUUAGAUAUCACGAAGAACCCCGAUUGCGAAGGCAGCCUGCUAAACCGCCACUGACGUUGAGGCUCGAAAGUGUGGGUAUCAAACAGGAUUAGAUACCCUGGUAGUCCACACGGUAAACGAUGGAUACUCGCUGUUGGCGAUAGACUGUCAGCGGCUUAGCGAAAGCGUUAAGUAUCCCACCUGGGGAGUACGCCGGCAACGGUGAAACUCAAAGGAAUUGACGGGGGCCCGCACAAGCGGAGGAACAUGUGGUUUAAUUCGAUGAUACGCGAGGAACCUUACCCGGGCUUGAAUUGCAGACGAAUUGCUUGGAAACAGGCAAGCCGCAAGGCGUCUGUGAAGGUGCUGCAUGGUUGUCGUCAGCUCGUGCCGUGAGGUGUCGGCUUAAGUGCCAUAACGAGCGCAACCCUCGUGUCCAGUUACUAGCAGGUUAUGCUGAGGACUCUGGACAGACUGCCAUCGUAAGAUGUGAGGAAGGUGGGGAUGACGUCAAAUCAGCACGGCCCUUACGUCCGGGGCUACACACGUGUUACAAUGGGGGGUACAGCAGGCAGCUACCGGGCGACCGGAUGCCAAUCCCGAAAGCCUCUCUCAGUUCGGACUGGAGUCUGCAACCCGACUCCACGAAGCUGGAUUCGCUAGUAAUCGCGCAUCAGCCACGGCGCGGUGAAUACGUUCCCG
rnacentral:rRNA from 1 species